rnacentral:rRNA from 1 species
UACGUAGGGUGCAAGUGUUAAUCGGAAUUACUGGGCGUAAAGCGUGCGCAGGCGGUUAUGCAAGUCAGAUGUGAAAUCCCCGGGCUUAACCUGGGAACCGCAUUUGUGACUGCAUAGCUGGAGUACGGCAGAGGGGGAUGGAAUUCCGCGUGUAGCAGUGAAAUGCGUAGAGAUCGUGAGGAAGACCAGUGGCGAAGGCGGGUCUCUGGACAGUUCCUGACACUGAGGCACGAAGGCCAGGGGAGCAAACGGG